ACGAAAUGUGUGAAAUUUGUGGCUGACGAUUUCUACUUAUAUUAAGUUUUCAAAGUCGUACCACCCCUUUAAUGUCUUCUGAGGUACGUUUUUAAAAAAGGCUCCAGAGAUAUCCAACAUAAAUGGACAAGCGUCUCAAGGAACACAAGGCUCUAUCGCCACGCUAUGAUGGCGUACCACUCCGAUAUGAAGACAGCAAACCCGUGCAGACACAGAUGCACACACAUCAAAAUAUCCUGGACAUUGGUCAGAACAUUCACACCCAGUGGGAGGUACAAGCUGAGAAUGAGAGAGAUCAAGCUGUCAGUGCGGCCCAACACAAAGUAUGGCAGGAAGCCGAACACAUGAAGAAUGUAGCAUUGGAGAAAUGCAGAGAACUAGCCAAAGAAGAGAUGGAAAAAGCCAUUGCCGAUCUGAAACACAGACAGGAGAAGGCACUCAAGGAAGAGGCAUUAAGAGUUGAAGGCAUCAUGACGCAGCAGGCCACAGAACAAGUGAAACAGGAGAAACAAGCAGGGCAGACGAUCUUGAGAGAGACCGUGGAGAAGGUACAAGCACAAGGACUAAGAGAGAAAGAUGAGGCGGUGUCACAAGCCAGGAAAGAGGAGGUGGAGAUCGCGAGGGAAGAAGCGGAGAGAGUUGCAAGAGUGACAGCUGACAGAGAAGCAGAAACAGCCAAAUCGAGCGCGGAGGCGAAAUCCAAAGCUCUAGCAGCCUUAGAAGAGCGGAUGAAACGGGAACGCAUCGACGCCGUCCACACCGCACAGAUGGAGGAACGUCACGUUGCCGCCAUUGAGCUAGGUCGAGUCAAAUCAGCCCACCAAUCAGAAAUAGAGAAACUCCAAGAAACAAUCCGGAAUUUGGAAUCGAGGAACGAAGAGACUUUGAAGGAAGUGGAGCGUGAAUGUGAGCAGAAGAAACAGUGGGAAGCCAAGUUCCACAACAUGAAGGAUUCCUAUCAGCUCUUCAUUAACAAAACCAAAGGGUUCGAUUCAGGACAGGCUGAUUUCCUUCUGAAGUGAACUCGGAGUUUUCUGCUUGCCAGAGGGUCACACAAAGUGGGAGAGGUAGCGGUAGGACUGAGAAAAUCGGAAGAGAAAGCUUGUGAUAAAAGAAUUCUGAAAUUGUUUUUCUAGAUUUCCCCUGCUGGAUUUGUUGAUAGUUGUAGAUACUUGGUACGUGUAUUGUGUGUGAGCUUUAUUGUGUUUGCUGUUUGCUAGCCGCUUCUUUCAACCGCAAGAAAUGCUUGUUGUCACUCAGACAUUAAUUCGAGCUGCUUUUUGUGCCUGUUCCAGUUGUGCCUGUUCCU
rnacentral:misc_RNA from 1 species